UGGGGAAUAUUGCACAAUGGGCGCAAGCCUGAUGCAUCCAUGCCGCGUGUAUGAAGAAGGCCUUCGGGUUGUAAAGUACUUUCAGCGGGGAGGAAGGUGUUGAGGUUAAUAACCUCAGCAAUUGACGUUACCCGCAGAAGAAGCACCGGCUAACUCCGUGCCAGCAGCCGCGGUAAUACGGAGGGUGCAAGCGUUAAUCGGAAUUACUGGGCGUAAAGCGCACGCAGGCGGUCUGUCAAGUCGGAUGUGAAAUCCCCGGGCUCAACCUGGGAACUGCAUUCGAAACUGGCAGGCUAGAGUCUUGUAGAGGGGGGUAGAAUUCCAGGUGUAGCGGUGAAAUGCGUAGAGAUCUGGAGGAAUACCGGUGGCGAAGGCGGCCCCCUGGACAAAGACUGACGCUCAGGUGCGAAAGCGUGGGGAGCAAACA
rnacentral:rRNA from 1 species